UGGGGAAUAUUGCACAAUGGGCGAAAGCCUGAUGCAGCAACGCCGCGUGAGUGAUGAAGGUCUUCGGAUUGUAAAGCUCUGUCUUUUGGGACGAUAAUGACGGUACCAAAGGAGGAAGCCACGGCUAACUACGUGCCAGCAGCCGCGGUAAUACGUAGGUGGCGAGCGUUGUCCGGAUUUACUGGGCGUAAAGGGUGCGUAGGCGGAUGUUUAAGUGAGAUGUGAGAUACCCGGGCUUAACUUGGGUGCUGCAUUUCAAACUGGAUAUCUAGAGUGCAGGAGAGGAGAAUGGAAUUCCUAGUGUAGCGGUGAAAUGCGUAGAGAUUAGGAAGAACACCAGUGGCGAAGGCGAUUCUCUGGACUGUAACUGACGCUGAGGCACGAAAGCGUGGGUAGCAAACAGGAUUAGAUACCCUGGUAGUCCACGCCGUAAACGAUGAGUACUAGGUGUAGGAGGUAUCGACCCCUUCUGUGCC
rnacentral:rRNA from 1 species